UCCAAUCCUAUCCAAUCCAAUAUUAUCACUAUCCUAGGCUUGAAGAAUAUCUAUUAUCUAAACCGAAAACCACCAAUUUUCUAUCUAAAAUUAAGAACCAAAAGAUUACAUGUGGCUAGGCUUGAAGAAUGGACAUAACACCUCUUAUUUUCAACUUGUUGCAUUAUUUAAGAAUCGACCAAUCAAUCCAUAAGGACCUCUUUCAAAUCCAUUAGUUUCCCCUUUCAUAUGUGUUUUGUCACUAAAAGUUUGAAAUUAUUUAGGAACCAAUAAAAAUCAUGUUGAAGACAAUUUUUACAUUUUCAUUAGGAACAAUUUGUGGUAUCCUUAUUGCUCGAAGGGCACAUAGGUUUUUCCACUUUGAUGGUCUUAAAAACCUUGCCCCUAAAAGUGAUCUUAACAAGAGAGUUCUGGUGGAAGAACGUCGUCCAUGAUGGAAAGAUGAAGAAAUUGUGACAAAUUCAAAUCAUCAUCAUCAUAUCUAUAAAGUGCAACAAUGUAGGUUUUGUAGAGAUAUAGGUUGUUUUGAAAUUAAAUGUAUUUAAAUGGAUGGUUGUAAAGUGGAUGUAAUGUUUGUAUAGUAGAUGAAAAUUACAUAUGCAAAUAAAUUACUAUUGUAUUGUGUAUUGUGUGUAUAUAAGAUUCACAUAUGUUCGUCAUUCUAAAUUGUGGUUGCAGUUACAUAUGAAUUUAGAUAUUGGCGUAUAUGAGGACAAAUUUUGAUAUGGUUCUAAAUUAUGGAAAUAUGCCAUACAAUCUUUCUUAGAUUCUUAUUUGCGUUAUGUUACAUUCUAAUUUCAUUGCAUAUUGCUUUUGAAUUCUCAAUUCUGUUUUUGGCUUGUAAUGAUCUAUAGUACUUACUUGAAGGAAAAAUAAAUGAAGCAAGCAAUCUAUUUUCUCUAUUUUUUUAUCUCUGCGUGAAUCAUAUGUUUGCGACAAAAGAGAC
rnacentral:lncRNA from 1 species